rnacentral:rRNA from 1 species
GGUUAAGCGACUAAGCGUACACGGUGGAUGCCCUGGCAGUCAGAGGCGAUGAAGGACGUGCUAAUCUGCGAUAAGCGUCGGUAAGGUGAUAUGAACCGUUAUAACCGGCGAUUUCCGAAUGGGGAAACCCAGUGUGAUUCGUCACACUAUCAUUAACUGAAUCCAUAGGUUAAUGAGGCGAACCGGGGGAACUGAAACAUCUAAGUACCCCGAGGAAAAGAAAUCAACCGAGAUUCCCCCAGUAGCGGCGAGCGAACGGGGAGGAGCCCAGAGCCUGAAUCAGUGUGUGUGUUAGUGGAAGCGUCUGGAAAGGCGCGCGAUACAGGGUGACAGCCCCGUACACAAAAAUGCACAUACUGUGAGCUCGAUGAGUAGGGCGGGACACGUGGUAUCCUGUCUGAAUAUGGGGGGACCAUCCUCCAAGGCUAAAUACUCCUGACUGACCGAUAGUGAACCAGUACCGUGAGGGAAAGGCGAAAAGAACCCCGGUGAGGGGAGUGAAAAAGAACCUGAAACCGUGUACGUACAAGCAGUGGGAGCCUCUUUAUGGGGUGACUGCGUACCUUUUGUAUAAUGGGUCAGCGACUUAUAUUCUGUAGCAAGGUUAACCGAAUAGGGGAGCCGAAGGGAAACCGAGUCUUAACUGGGCGUUAAGUUGCAGGGUAUAGACCCGAAACCCGGUGAUCUAGCCAUGGGCAGGUUGAAGGUUGGGUAACACUAACUGGAGGACCGAACCGACUAAUGUUGAAAAAUUAGCGGAUGACUUGUGGCUGGGGGUGAAAGGCCAAUCAAACCGGGAGAUAGCUGGUUCUCCCCGAAAGCUAUUUAGGUAGCGCCUCGUGAAUUCAUCUCCGGGGGUAGAGCACUGUUUCGGCAAGGGGGUCAUCCCGACUUACCAACCCGAUGCAAACUGCGAAUACCGGAGAAUGUUAUCACGGGAGACACACGGCGGGUGCUAACGUCCGUCGUGAAGAGGGAAACAACCCAGACCGCCAGCUAAGGUCCCAAAGUCAUGGUUAAGUGGGAAACGAUGUGGGAAGGCCCAGACAGCCAGGAUGUUGGCUUAGAAGCAGCCAUCAUUUAAAGAAAGCGUAAUAGCUCACUGGUCGAGUCGGCCUGCGCGGAAGAUGUAACGGGGCUAAACCAUGCACCGAAGCUGCGGCAGCGACACUAUGUGUUGUUGGGUAGGGGAGCGUUCUGUAAGCCUGUGAAGGUGUACUGUGAGGUAUGCUGGAGGUAUCAGAAGUGCGAAUGCUGACAUAAGUAACGAUAAAGCGGGUGAAAAGCCCGCUCGCCGGAAGACCAAGGGUUCCUGUCCAACGUUAAUCGGGGCAGGGUGAGUCGACCCCUAAGGCGAGGCCGAAAGGCGUAGUCGAUGGGAAACAGGUUAAUAUUCCUGUACUUGGUGUUACUGCGAAGGGGGGACGGAGAAGGCUAUGUUGGCCGGGCGACGGUUGUCCCGGUUUAAGCGUGUAGGCUGGUUUUCCAGGCAAAUCCGGAAAAUCAAGGCUGAGGCGUGAUGACGAGGCACUACGGUGCUGAAGCAACAAAUGCCCUGCUUCCAGGAAAAGCCUCUAAGCAUCAGGUAACAUCAAAUCGUACCCCAAACCGACACAGGUGGUCAGGUAGAGAAUACCAAGGCGCUUGAGAGAACUCGGGUGAAGGAACUAGGCAAAAUGGUGCCGUAACUUCGGGAGAAGGCACGCUGAUAUGUAGGUGAAGCGACUUGCUCGUGGAGCUGAAAUCAGUCGAAGAUACCAGCUGGCUGCAACUGUUUAUUAAAAACACAGCACUGUGCAAACACGAAAGUGGACGUAUACGGUGUGACGCCUGCCCGGUGCCGGAAGGUUAAUUGAUGGGGUUAGCGGUAACGCGAAGCUCUUGAUCGAAGCCCCGGUAAACGGCGGCCGUAACUAUAACGGUCCUAAGGUAGCGAAAUUCCUUGUCGGGUAAGUUCCGACCUGCACGAAUGGCGUAAUGAUGGCCAGGCUGUCUCCACCCGAGACUCAGUGAAAUUGAACUCGCUGUGAAGAUGCAGUGUACCCGCGGCAAGACGGAAAGACCCCGUGAACCUUUACUAUAGCUUGACACUGAACAUUGAGCCUUGAUGUGUAGGAUAGGUGGGAGGCUUUGAAGUGUGGACGCCAGUCUGCAUGGAGCCGGCCUUGAAAUACCACCCUUUAAUGUUUGAUGUUCUAACGUUGGCCCCUGAUCGGGGUUGCGGACAGUGUCUGGUGGGUAGUUUGACUGGGGCGGUCUCCUCCUAAAGAGUAACGGAGGAGCACGAAGGUUGGCUAAUCCUGGUCGGACAUCAGGAGGUUAGUGCAAUGGCAUAAGCCAGCUUGACUGCGAGCGUGACGGCGCGAGCAGGUGCGAAAGCAGGUCAUAGUGAUCCGGUGGUUCUGAAUGGAAGGGCCAUCGCUCAACGGAUAAAAGGUACUCCGGGGAUAACAGGCUGAUACCGCCCAAGAGUUCAUAUCGACGGCGGUGUUUGGCACCUCGAUGUCGGCUCAUCACAUCCUGGGGCUGAAGUAGGUCCCAAGGGUAUGGCUGUUCGCCAUUUAAAGUGGUACGCGAGCUGGGUUUAGAACGUCGUGAGACAGUUCGGUCCCUAUCUGCCGUGGGCGCUGGAGAACUGAGGGGGGCUGCUCCUAGUACGAGAGGACCGGAGUGGACGCAUCACUGGUGUUCGGGUUGUCAUGCCAAUGGCACUGCCCGGUAGCUAAAUGCGGAAGAGAUAAGUGCUGAAAGCAUCUAAGCACGAAACUUGCCCCGAGAUGAGUUCUCCCUGACUCCUUGAGAGUCCUGAAGGAACGUUGAAGACGACGACGUUGAUAGGCCGGGUGUGUAAGCGCAGCGAUGCGUUGAGCUAACCGGUACUAAUGAACCGUGAGGCUUAACCUU